rnacentral:rRNA from 1 species
AUGGAGGGGAUGGAUUCGGUCGCCGUGAUGGAGGUGGCGCCGGUGCCGGACCCGCUCUUCGUCGGCGCCACUCCCCUGAUCCCGGCGCCACCGGAGUCGGAGCUCGUGCUGCGCCGCAGCGCCCGCUGCCUCGGCAAGCCACGCGUCCCAGUCUACGCGGAGCCGGAGGAGCCCAAGCAGUCCACCGGCCGCCGGGGCCGUCCUAAGAAGAAGAGGGACGAGGAGAACCAGGACCCGGCUCCACAGGUCGCGGCCAAGGUGCCCAGGAAGGCCGCCAAGGUCGAGCCAAAGGAGAGGAAGCCGAUGCCGGUGGUUGGGCCGGAACCGGUUCCUGCCGAUUUCACCGGAGCUGCCGCGGAGGACGACGCCCUGGGCACCGGGAAGAGUGCCAAGCUGCGGGUCAAGGAAACCUUGCGUGCCUUCAACAGCCACUACCUCCACCUUGUCCAGGAAGAGCAGAAAAGAGCACAGGCUGUCAUACAGGAGAUUGCAGCCAAAGGAGCUGCCAAAAAUAAGGAUGGCAAGAAAGGCGGUGAAGGCGAGGCCAAAGAAAAGCGCCCAUCCAAGCGGCCUGAUUUGAAAGCAGUUACAAAGAUGCAAGAGAACAACUCUUUUCUUUAUACGGAGAAGGUGUUAGGGCCAAUACCAGGGAUCGACGUCGGGGAUCAGUUUUAUUCUCGUGCGGAGAUGGUUGUCUUGGGCAUUCACAGCCAUUGGCUGAAUGGUAUUGACUAUAUGGGUAUGAAAUACCAAGAAAAGAAGGAGUACGAGAACUUCACUUUCCCCAUGGCAACUUGCAUCGUCAUGUCAGGGAUAUAUGAAGAUGAUCUGGACAAGGCUGAUGAAAUUAUUUAUACUGGUCAGGGAGGAAAUGAUUUACUUGGCAACCAUCGCCAAAUUGGUUCUCAACAACUGAACCGUGGAAAUUUGGCAUUGAAGAAUAGCAAGGAUAAUGGCAAUCUGAUACGAGUUAUUAGAGGUCAUGUGGCCAAGAAUAGCUACACCGGCAAAAUCUACACAUAUGAUGGCUUGUACAAGGUUGUAGAUGACUGGGUGCAGAAGGGAGUACAAGGACAUGUGGUAUACAAGUAUAAAUUGAAGAGGCUUGAGGGUCAACCGUCGUUGACAACCACUGAGGUGCGAUUCACUCGUGCGGAAGCUCCCAGAAAGAUUUCUGAAUUACCUGGGUUGGUUUGUGAUGACAUCUCUGGAGGACAGGAGAACAUUCCAAUUCCUGCUACUAAUGUGGUUGAUGACCCACCUGUUCCUCCAUCUGGUUUUGUGUACUCCAAAUCACUAAAAAUCUCAAAAGGCAUAAAGAUUCCAUCUGAUUGUGCUGGCUGUGACUGUGAAGGAGACUGUGCUAAUAACAAAAAUUGUUCAUGUGCUCAACUUAACGGCUCGGAUUUGCCUUAUGUAUCAUUUAAGAAUAUUGGCAGGUUGGUGGAGCCCAAAGCAGUCGUAUUCGAGUGUGGUGCUAACUGCAGCUGCAAUCGAAACUGUGUCAAUAGAACAUCUCAACAAGGGCUGCAACAUCGCCUAGAGGUGUUCAAGACGGCUUCCAAAGGGUGGGGCGUUAGGACCUGGGACACAAUCCUCCCGGGGGCUCCAAUCUGUGAGUACGUUGGGGUGUUGAAGAGGACUGAGGAAGUGGAUGGUUUGCUACAUAACAACUACAUAUUUGACAUUGAUUGUCUUCAAACUAUGAAGGGUUUAGAUGGACGGGAGAAAAGGGCAGGGUCUGAUAUGAAUAUGCCAUCACUUCACGCUGAGAAUGAUUCAGAGGCACCACCGGCACCGGAGUACUGCAUAGAUGCUGGCUCUGUUGGAAGUUUCGCGAGGUUCAUAAACCACAGCUGUAACCCUAACCUCUUCGUCCAGUGUGUCCUAACCAAUCAUCACGACGUCAAGCUAGCCAAGGUGAUGCUUUUUGCUGCUGACACGAUACUUCCACUUCAGGAGCUCUGCUACGACUAUGGCUAUGUCCUGAACAGCGUCGUUUCUGCGGAUGGCGAAAUUGUCAAGCUGCCAUGCUGCUGUGGUGCCCCAGACUGCCGCAAGCGACUCUACUAG